AGUUUGAUCCUGGCUCAGAAUGAACGUUAGCGGCGUGCCUGAUGCAUGCAAGUCGAACGCUCUGAUAAUCCGCAAGGGUUAUCGGGGAGUGGCGAACGGCUGAGUAACGCGUAAGUGACCUACCUUUGAGUGGGGGAUAACUUGCCGAAAGGCAAGCUAAUACCGCAUGUGCUAGUAAGUUAAAUCAUAUUUAUUAGUAAAGCCUUCGGGCGCUUGAAGAUGGGCUUGCGUCUGAUUAGCUAGUUGGUAGGGUAAUGGCCUACCAAGGCUAUGAUCAGUAGCUGGUCUGAGAGGACAACCAGCCAGACGGGGACUGAGAUACGGCCCUGACUCCUACGGGAGGCAGCAGCAAGGAAUUUUGCGCAAUGGGCGAAAGCCUGACGCAGCAACGCCGCGUGGGGGAUGAAGGCCUUCGGGUUGUAAACCCCUUUUCUCGAGGAAGAAACAUGACGGUACUCGAGGAAUAAGUCUUGGCUAACUACGUGCCAGCAGCCGCGGUAAUACGUAGGAGGCAAACGUUAUUCGGAUUUACUGGGCGUAAAGCAGGUGCAGACGGCCCCUUAAGUCGGGUGUGAAAUCUCCUGACUCAAUCA
rnacentral:rRNA from 1 species